CUUUACUGUAGCUUUACAUUGGACUUUGAACAGAUCUGUGUAGGAUAGGUGGGAGGCUUUGAAGCGGUGCCGCUAGGUGUCGUGGAGCCAACGUUGAAAUACCACCCUGGUGUGUUUGAGGUUCUAACCUUGGCCCGUUAUCCGGGUUGGGGACAGUGUAUGGUGGGCAGUUUGACUGGGGCGGUCUCCUCCCAAAGUGUAACGGAGGAGUUCGAAGGUACGCUGGGCACGGUCGGAAAUCGUGCUGAUAGUGCAUUGGCAUAAGCGUGCUUGACUGCGAGACUGACAAGUCGAGCAGGUACGAAAGUAGGACAAAGUGAUCCGGUGGUUCUGUAUGGAAGGGCCAUCGCUCAACGGAUAAAAGGUA
rnacentral:rRNA from 1 species